CAAAAAUAUCGAAGGCAAUGUUGAUGUUGCACGGAAGGAAAGUUAGAAAGAGAGUGUCUAGAACAGGGGAAUCAUGAUUAGCUUUAGAUGGAAGAAGAUGAAGACAUUUUAAGACCCGCUGUUGCUGCAUUGUGUCUGAGAUGAUCCCCUCAGCCCUGGCGUUUGAUAAUUUGGUGCAUGUAGAUGCUUAGCCAGUCAGUCUCUAGGCUUGUGAAUAUGGAAUCCGGGUGCUCACAAGGACAAAAGGUGUAUGAAAAGAAAAACAUAAAGAAAUCGUGUAAGGAUCAAAAGUUUGAAGUGUCUGUUGGAA